rnacentral:rRNA from 1 species
UACGAAGGGGGCUAGCGUUGCUCGGAAUCACUGGGCGUAAAGCGCACGUAGGCGGAUUGUUAAGUCAGGGGUGAAAUCCUGGAGCUCAACUCCAGAACUGCCUUUGAUACUGGCGAUCUCGAGUCCGGGAGAGGUGAGUGGAACUGCGAGUGUAGAGGUGAAAUUCGUAGAUAUUCGGCAAGAACACCAGUGGCGAAGGCGGCUCACUGGCCCGGUACUGA